GGCCAAAUGGUCUAGUGGUAUGAUUCACCCUUAGGGUGGGUGAGGUCCCGGGUUCAAUUCCCGGUUUGGCCC
rnacentral:tRNA from 1 species